GAGACCGGCGCACGGGUGCGUAACGCGUAUGCAAUCUACCUUUUACAGAGGGAUAGCCCAGAGAAAUUUGGAUUAAUACCUCAUAGUAUUGUGAAGUGGCAUCACUUUAUAAUUAAAGUCACAACGGUAAAAGAUGAGCAUGCGUCCCAUUAGCUAGUUGGUAAGGUAACGGCUUACCAAGGCUACGAUGGGUAGGGGUCCUGAGAGGGAGAUCCCCCACACUGGUACUGAGACACGGACCAGACUCCUACGGGAGGCAGCAGUGAGGAAUAUUGGACAAUGGGCGCAAGCCUGAUCCAGCCAUGCCGCGUGCAGGAUGACGGUCCUAUGGAUUGUAAACUGCUUUUAUACGAGAAGAAACACUACUUCGUGAAGUAGCUUGACGGUAUCGUAAGAAUAAGGAUCGGCUAACUCCGUGCCAGCAGCCGCGGUAAUACGGAGGAUCCAAGCGUUAUCCGGAAUCAUUGGGUUUAAAGGGUCCGUAGGCGGUUUAGUAAGUCAGUGGUGAAAGCCCAUCGCUCAACGGUGGAACGGCCAUUGAUACUGCUGAACUUGAAUUAUUAGGAAGUAACUAGAAUAUGUAGUGUAGCGGUGAAAUGCUUAGAGAUUACAUGGAAUACCAAUUGCGAAGGCAGGUUACUACUAAUUGAUUGACGCUGAUGGACGAAAGCGUGGGUAGCGAACAGGAUUAGAUACCCUGGUAGUCCACGCCGUAAACGAUGGAUACUAGCUGUUGGAAGCAAUUUCAGUGGCUAAGCGAAAGUGAUAAGUAUCCCACCUGGGGAGUACGUUCGCAAGAAUGAAACUCAAAGGAAUUGACGGGGGCCCGCACAAGCGGUGGAGCAUGUGGUUUAAUUCGAUGAUACGCGAGGAACCUUACCAAGGCUUAAAUGUAGUUUGACCGAUUUGGAAACAGAUCUUUCGCAAGACAAAUUACAAGGUGCUGCAUGGUUGUCGUCAGCUCGUGCCGUGAGGUGUCAGGUUAAGUCCUAUAACGAGCGCAACCCCUGUUGUUAGUUGCCAGCGAGUCAUGUCGGGAACUCUAACAAGACUGCCAGUGCAAACUGUGAGGAAGGUGGGGAUGACGUCAAAUCAUCACGGCCCUUACGCCUUGGGCUACACACGUGCUACAAUGGCCGGUACAGAGAGCAGCCACUGGGCGACCAGGAGCGAAUCUAUAAAACCGGUCACAGUUCGGAUCGGAGUCUGCAACUCGACUCCGUGAAGCUGGAAUCGCUAGUAAU
rnacentral:rRNA from 1 species